UUUUGUCAGGUUUGUCAAAGAUCAGAUGGUUGUAGAUGUGUGGUGUUAUUUCUGAGGCCUCUGUUCUGUUCCAUUGGUCUAUAUAUCUGUUUUGGUACCAGUAUCAAAACUAUUGGUACCAGUACCAUACUGUUUUGGUUACUGUAGCCUUGUAGUAUAGUUUGAAGUCAGGUAACAUGAUGCCUCCAGCUUUGUUCUUUUUGCUUAGGAUUGUCUUGCCCAUGCGGGCUCCUUUUUGGUUCCAUAUGAAAUUUAAAUUAGUUUUUUCCUAUUCUUUGAAGAAAGUCAAUGGUAGCUUGGUGAGGAUAGCACUGAAUCUAUAAAUUACUUUGGGCAGUAUGGCUAUUUUCAUGAUAUUGAUUCUUUCUAACAUAACAUGAGCAUGAAAUAUUCUUCCAUUUGUUUGUGUUCAUUUUGUAUUGUAUCUGUUUUUAGAAAUUGUCUAUUUCUUUGUCCACGUAGGCUAAAGUUACAUCUUCAAUAAGCCAAGUAAUAGGAACUUACUUUGCUCACCGCAGUAUGUGUGCCUGCUCCUAGAACUAUGCUCAGGAUGUGGCCGGCACAUGGUCAGUUUUUGCUGAAUGGAGGAA
rnacentral:lncRNA from 10 species